CGGGUGAGUAACGCGUGAGGAACCUGCCUCAAAGAGGGGGACAACAGUUGGAAACGACUGCUAAUACCGCAUAAGCCCACGGCUCGGCAUCGAGCAGAGGGAAAAGGAGUGAUCCGCUUUGAGAUGGCCUCGCGUCCGAUUAGCUGGUUGGUGAGGUAACGGCCCACCAAGGCGACGAUCGGUAGCCGGACUGAGAGGCCGAACGGCCACAUUGGGACUGAGACACGGCCCAG
rnacentral:rRNA from 1 species